ACUCAAAUGAAUUGACGGGGGCCCGCACAAGCAGCGGAGCGUGUGGAUUAAUUCGAUGCAACGCGAAGAACCUUACCUAGGCUUGACAUGCACGUGGUAGGGACCCGAAAGGGAACCGACCCGCAAGGGAGCGUGCACAGGUACUGCAUGGCUGUCGUCAGCUCGUGCCGUGAGGUGUUGGGUUAAGUCCCGCAACGAGCGCAACCCCCGUCCCUAGUUGCUGUUUCUAGGGAGACUGCCGGGCGAACCCCGGAGGAAGGUGGGGAUGACGUCAAGUCCGCAUGGUCCUUACGUCUAGGGCUUCACACACGCUACAAUCGGCGGUACAGCGGGAUGCCACUACGCGAGUAGGAGCCAAUCCCCCAAAACCGUCGUCAGUACAGAUUGUAGGCUGCAACUCGCCUGCAUGAAGUCGGAGUUGCUAGUAACCGCGCGUCAGCACAGUGCGGUGAAUGCGUUCCCGGGCCUUGUACACACCGCCCGU
rnacentral:rRNA from 1 species